rnacentral:sRNA from 1 species
AAGGUUCGAGUCUCACGCAGUGAGACAACGCGCUUCAGCGCGGCCCGCAGGGUGAGUCGCGCAGCGACGAAUUAUCCUUCCCCCACCACCA